CUUCAGCACCUGGCUACACAGCAGCCUCAGCUUCACGGAGGACUGGAGGGGAAGGCCUUACAUCAGCCAGACUGACCCACCUCACCCCUCCAUGCUGGUGGGCUGGCUCAGAGAAGGCUGGCCACAUACCUGACCAGUCACACAGCAUGUUCGGACAGCCCGAAAGCGCUGAGGCCCCAGCCCAAGAGUGACCUCCCCACCCUCCACCCUCAGAGCCCCCACCCCCAAGACCCCAUGCACUCAACGAUUUUGGCCAGCGUGCUGAUCUCUGCCAGGACCCAGUCAGGACAGUCCAGGUCACCACAGAACCGGAACCUCUGCAAGGGAGUAAGCUCCAGCCAUACUGGCCUCCCUGCUGCUCCUGUUGCAGAUUAAACGUGGCUUGCUCUCUCACUUCACUCAGGUCUCUGCUCAAAUGACACCUCUUCUGAUGGACUUUCUCUGACUUUGCUUUCUUAAAUAGCCCCUUACACAAGGAAAUUUUUGGGGUCAGUGGAUGUAUUCAUUAUCUUGAUCAUGGUAAUGUUUUCAUGAGCAUAUAUGCAUCGAAACUUAUUGAACCAUAUAUUUGCACACACAUGGUUUGUUUUAUGUCGAUAUUAUCUCAAGGAAGCUGUUAAAAAAAAAUAAAACAGCUCUUCACCAUCAUG